GAUGAACGCUGGCGGCGUGCCUAAUACAUGCAAGUCGAGCGAACGGACGAGAAGCUUGCUUCUCUGAUGUUAGCGGCGGACGGGUGAGUAACACGUGGAUAACCUACCUAUAAGACUGGGAUAACUUCGGGACACCGGAGCUAAUACCGGAUGAUAUUUUGAACCGCAUGGUUCAAAAGUGAAAGACGGUUUUGCUGUCACUUAUAGCUGGAUCCGCGCUGCAUUAGCUAGUUGGUAAGGUAACGGCUUACCAAGGCAACGAUGCAUAGCCGACCUGAGAGGGUGAUCGGCCACACUGGAACUGAGACACGGUCCAGACUCCUACGGGAGGCAGCAGUAGGGAAUCGUCCGCAAUGGGCGAAAGCCUGACGGAGCAACGCCGCGUGAGUGAUGAAGGUCUUCGGAUCGUAAAACUCUGUUAUUAGGGAAGAACAUAUGUGUAAGUAACUGUGCACAUCUUGACGGUACCUAAUCAGAAAGCCACGGCUAACUACGUG
rnacentral:rRNA from 1 species